rnacentral:rRNA from 1 species
CAUGUCCUUUUGAUAAUAAAAUUUAAGGUCUAACCUGCCCAAUGAUUAAGUAUUAAAUGGCCGCGGUACUUUGACCGUGCAAAGGUAGCAUAAUCAUUAGUUUUUUAAUUGAAAGCUGGAAUGAAGGGUUGAAUGAGAAAGUAACUGUCUCUAUUAUAUUUAAUUAAAACUUUAUUUUUAAGUUAAAAAGCUUAAAUUAAAUUUAUAGACGAGAAGACCCUUUAGAGUUUUAUAAAAACUAUAUUUAAAAUUUUUUAGAAUUAAUUUAAUUUUAAAUUAGUUAUUUAUUUGAUUGGGGUGAUUGAAAAAUUUAAAAAACUUUUUUUUUUAUUUUACAUUUAUAUAUGAAUAAUUGAUCCAUUUAUUAUGAUUAUAAGAUUAAAUUACCUAAGGGAUAACAGCGUUAUUUUUUUUGAGAGUUCUAAUCGAAAAAAAAGUUUGCGACCUCGAUGUUGGAUUAAAAUUAAAUUAUGGUGUAGAGGCUAUAACUUUA